rnacentral:rRNA from 1 species
CAGGGCUUGACAUGGGAGCGACCGGACUAGAGAUAGUCUUUUCCCUUCGGGGACGCUCCACACAGGUGGUGCAUGGUUGUCGUCAGCUCGUGUCGUGAGAUGUUGGGUUAAGUCCCGCAACGAGCGCAACCCCUAUUGUUAGUUGCUACGCAAGAGCACUCUAGCGAGACUGCCGUUGACAAAACGGAGGAAGGUGGGGACGACGUCAAAUCAUCAUGCCCCUUAUGUCCUGGGCUACACACGUAAUACAAUGGCGGUCAACAGAGGGAUGCAAAUCCGCGAGGAGGAGCGAACCCCGAAAAGCCGUCCCAGUUCGGAUCGCAGGCUGCAACCCGCCUGCGUGAAGUCGGAAUCGCUAGUAAUCGCGGAUCAGCAUGCCGCGGUGAAUACGUUCCC